GGAAGGAGUGGUCACGGAUUAAGAGCAAAGGUAAAAUAAUAACACACACACAGGAGGAGGAGGAGGCGUGGUUAUUCAUCAGUGACUCCUCCACACACACUCCUGUGAUGAUAGUUUGACCUCCUGAUGAUCAGUGAGGAGGAACCUGAGAGCUCAGGAACAGGAAGAGGUCAGAGGUCAUUCAUCGAAGCUCCAUGUUCAGUGUGAGGAAGUUAAAUAAAACCUGCAGCCUGUGCUGAAGAGACAGGAAGUGGAAGUAUCUACUUCCUGUUUUCUCCUCUGCGAGGAUCCAGAGGAAGUCACUCAGACUCAGAAACACAAAAACACAGAGACGUCCAUCAGCUCUGACCUCAUCACAGCAUCACAGGAACCUUCAGACAGGAAGUGACCUCUGACCUCUCUCACUUCUAACCACGUGACUCAGUCAAACUGAGGGUUCAUGUAACCUCAGACCCUCCUCAUCAUCAUGUCCCCGUCAUGGGUCAGAUCUUCGUAUGAUGUCACUUCCUGUGUUUUCAGGUGUUUCUUCUUCUUGCAGGUAGAGAAGGCUUCGUUCACAGCUACGAGCUCAUCACUCAGAUUGAAGUGGACUAUGCCCGCCCCAUCAUCAUCCUGGGACCCACCAAAGACCGCGUCAACGACGACCUGCUGUCCGAGUUCCCCGACAAGUUCGGCUCCUGCGUUCCCCAUACAACUCGCCCUCGCAGGGACUACGAGGUGGAUGGGCGGGACUACCACUUUGUGGCGUCACGGGAACAGAUGGAGCGGGACA
ensembl:lncRNA